rnacentral:rRNA from 1 species
UACGAAGGGGGCUAGCGUUGCUCGGAAUCACUGGGCGUAAAGGGCGCGUAGGCGGGUCGUUAAGUUAGAGGUGAAAGCCCAGGGCUCAACCCUGGAAUUGCCUUUGAUACUAGCGGCCUUGAGUAUGGCAGAGGUGUGUGGAACUCCGAGUGUAGAGGUGAAAUUCGUAGAUAUUCGGAAGAACACCAGUGGCGAAGGCGACACACUGGGCCAUUACUGACGCUGAGGCGCGAAAGCGUGGGGAGCAAACAGG